CUCCAUCCACAGGUAGGACUGAUAUGUUUUGGCACAAGAGCCACGAGUCCCCUUCUAGUUGGCUGCAACCUGGUCUCAGGCACUGGUGGCUUUUCUGUCUGCACUUUAUUUUGGGGCCUUUGUUCCAUCCUGCUCCGAGCCUAGAACUUUAGCUGAAAUCAGACUCUUCUGUUUUUUCUCACUUUCCUGGUUCUUUUUGCUGUUUCUUUUCUGCCGAUGAGAGGAAUGCUGUCCUGCUUAGCCUGUGUCUGAAGGAAUUUUACUGGGAGAGGAGGGGAAAUAGCACCCCGGAGAAUCCCUCAUGCCACCACCCAGCCUUCUAUUGUGGACCUGCCCCCAGGACCUCGUGCACAGUUUCCACCCGAGUGGCGGUGCUGCUCCAUGCAGAGAAGAGGAUUAGAAGUGGGAAUCAGAAAGCCAAGCUGGGUUUUUCCUCCUAACACAUCACCAAGUUUUUUAGAUCCUGAGGGCAAAAUCAUGCAUUCAGUGGAAGAGAUAAAAAUCACCCAGCCUAUGCCUUCGGCUGCUCUCCAGCUGCAAAGGAUUGAGAGGGCAGAUGAAGGGGGAUGUUGUCUGUUUUCAGCAGCGCUGCAGGUCUCACUUGAGUGAGAUUGGGCCUUUUCCUGCCAUCUGGAAAACCCAUCUUGCAUUUGCUGCUGCUAACCUUGGAAGGACCCAGAUGUUGCAAGAAUGUGUCAGGACUUCACAUCCAUCCUGAGCUGGACAUAGGGCCUUGGAAAAUGGAUGCUGGUUAUGCUGGUUGCAUGAAGGCCUCUUGGUGAUCCUGCUGUAUUAAAUAAUUGUUUCUAGCUGCCAAAGGUAGGAGCUGCUGCUACAUCCUCCUCUCUUGUCUGCCCCUCUAAACCAAGGAGCAGCCAAAGCUUGGCUCCCCUGGGGGCUCUGUUCCGUGCCUGGUGCAGGUGUCGCUUUGGAGGGAAAAAGAUGGAUGUGAACUGCAGGAAUGACAAAGCCACCUGUGCAGAGCUCUGUCCUUGCUGGAUUUGGUGGAUGUCUGCCAGCAGCCCAUCCGUAGAAAGAGUUUCCAGUAUGCUUAAACUAUUGCUGUGAGUACCAGUGUACUGCUCUGAGAACAGCUGCCUUUAGCCUGGUCACAGCAGUACGCUGCUGCAGAAGGGCACGGAUGCAUUUUCAGCUGACCUGAAUCCACGGAGAAGGAACCUUGCACCCUCCUGCUUGUGCUCAUCCUCUGAUACCAACAGAACUGGAGCAGGUGCCCCCAAGGCACCUGGAAAGCUGGCUUGCCUCGUCAGUGCUAGCCAGGUGGUUUUUCAGCCUCAUCUAGAAGGUUGGGGUGCAAGUAUUUGUACUUAAGAUGCGGGCCAGGGAAAGCUGCCAAGGCCCUCAGCACUCUGCUCUCCUCUGGGUUGCCAGGAUUAGGUUUUAGGUUCAAGACCCUGAAUAGCGAAGUCAUCCUAAGUACAGACCUUCUGAAGAGACCAUCUCCGGCUGGGAAACAGAGUCAACAGCAAAUCAGCAGCCCUGUAACUUUUGACAGUGACAGAAUUUAUCAAGCAAUUCAUAGUUUUUCAAGGCUGAAAAGGCCAUUACAAUAUCUAGUCUCAGCUAUGUUACAGAGCAGUCCUCCUUGUUCUCCUUAACAGUGCCUUGGUCUCUGUAGUGUGGCCUGUGCAUCCCUGCCAGGGCCUGACUGCAGGGAGAACUGCAGUGAUAGAGAAGGGCUGGGAAGAAUCUGUUUGCAUGCUUUGGGCUUGGUUUUCACUUAGGAGGUGUUAUGAAGGAGAUUUCACAACAAAAAUAACUCCACCCAAGCGUAGGCUCUGUUUUAUCCAUUUCCUCUUUGCUCACAUCUGUUCAUUAGCUGCUGUUUUCCACACGAUCGAUUUUCAGGGGGAGUGGCAUGCUUUGGCUGAUGCUGUACGUUCCUCCUGCAGAGCUGCUUCUCCUUCCCAGGCUUGCUGGUGGGACCCGUGCAGUGGGAUGUGGGGGUCCCUGUGCCCAAGACAGGAGGCUGCAGAGAUGGACAGCUGCUGUGCUGAAGCAGGAGGGAAAGGUCUCUGCUCCUGGCUCUGCUCUUGCAGGAGAAGAAGGUUCACCCUGUGAAGGCCUUUGUAAAGUGGGAGCUUCAGGGACAGCAGAGUGUUGAGGAGGGGUCCUGGGCGCUGCAGUGGCAUUGCUCCCAUCCUGCUUAUGAGCAGGACAGGGCAGUGCUCACCUCUGCCCCUUGGGCACUGAGUGCUGGGCUUCCUUGGCUCAUUUCUGCAGGGCUCAGCUCCUCUCCCAGAGCUACAGCCACCACAGAGCUUCGUCCUUGUGACAGUUCUGGGAAGGAUUUGAUUUGUUUUUGUACAAAUUAAAAGAGCAGCAGGACCCCCAAGGGAGCAUCCUUUGACUCCUGGACCCAGCUCUCCCCUGUUUUUAUUACAGGGGCCAGCUGCUCCCGCAGGUGUGUUCAGAAAGAUGAAACCUGAUCGCUCCCACGUAGGAAAUCUGCAGUCACAAAGUGCAGAGGCUUGCCAGAGCUUGGAGUAAACAGCACAGUAUGGAGCGCAGCCCAGGGCCCCGCUCCAUCAUCUCCAUGACUUCAGGGAAAAUAGGGCAGGGAGAGCUGGCCGCUGUCCCCGCCUCCCGCGGCCGAAGCCACGUGCCGUCCUCAGCCUGGCGCUGAUCUGAGGGGUCCUGGCGCAGAGAGGGACCCGGCCGAGGCCGCCACAGCGGCAGUGGAGACUGCGGUCUCUAUGGCAACCCGGCAACACGGCAGUGUUCGCGAGACUGCGGAGCGUGAUCACGCGCAUGUGUACUCGCAAAAGCAACGCGCCCUCCCGCGGAGGCUCGGCCGUUCCCAUUGGCUGGGCGUUACCGAGGGUGACGGCGCCGCCGCUGGUGAUUGGCUGCUCAGCGCGCAGGCGUGGGGCAACAUGGCGGCGCCGGUACGGCGGAGCGUGGUGUUCGUGACGGGCAACGCUAAGAAGCUGGAGGAGGUCACUCAGAUCCUUGGGGACUCCUCUCCGUACACGCUGGUGGCGAAGAAAAUUGACCUGCCCGAGUACCAGGGGGAGCCGGACGAGAUCUCCGUGCAGAAGUGCCGUGAAGCCGCCCGGCAGAUUCGGGGGCCUGUUAUAGUAGAGGACACCUGCUUGUGCUUCAAUGCCCUGGGGGGACUUCCAGGACCUUACAUUGUUGAGUGCCUGCUGUUGCAGCCAGCUUGGGAGCCCCAUACUGGGCACUGGGACGCCAGGUGUGGCAGGAGAGCUCUUAUAAAAUGGUUCCUGGAAAAGCUCAAGCCAGAAGGGGGUGAUUGUUGAGCCCAGAGGCCCUCGAGAUUUUGGCUGGGAUCCCUGCUUUCAGCCUGAUGGCUACGACCAGACCUACGCUGAGCUGCCCAAGGCUGUGAAGAACUCGAUCUCACACCGGUACCGUGCACUGAGCGAGCUCUCUGCCUUCUUCCUUCAGAGCAACCCAACAGAGGCCCACUCCAGUCCCAGCUAGCAUCCCCGUGCCUGCAGACACUGGAUGCUAUACUUUUCAUAUACAGUCCUGUGAGAUCUCUGUUGGGUCACAUGCUUAUAUUAAAGUUGCUCACGGUGAA